rnacentral:rRNA from 1 species
GAUGAACGCUAGCGGCGGGCUUAAUACAUGCAAGUCGAGGGGUGGUAGCAAUACUACACCGGCGCACGGGUGCGUAACGCGUAUGCAACCUACCUUUUACAGAGGGAUAGCCCAGAGAAAUUUGGAUUAAUACCUCAUAGUAUAUAGUCUUCGCAUGUUGACUAUAUUAAAGUUCCAACGGUAAAAGAUGGGCAUGCGUCCUAUUAGCUAGAUGGUAAGGUAACGGCUUACCAUGGCAACGAUAGGUAGGGGUCCUGAGAGGGAGAUCCCCCACACUGGUACUGAGACACGGACCAGACUCCUACGGGAGGCAGCAGUGAGGAAUAUUGGACAAUGGGCGCAAGCCUGAUCCAGCCAUGCCGCGUGCAGGAAGAAGCAUCUAUGGUGUGUAAACUGCUUUUGUACAGGAAGAAACACCCCGACGUGUCGGGACUUGACGGUACUGUAAGAAUAAGGAUCGGCUAACUCCGUGCCAGCCGCCGCCGUAAUAC